rnacentral:rRNA from 1 species
AUUGAACGCUGGCGGCAGGCCUAACACAUGCAAGUCGAACGAGUGGCGGACGGGUGAGUAAUGUCUGGGAAACUGCCCGAUGGCGGGGGAUAACUACUGGAAACGGUAGCUAAUACCGCAUACCAUCAGAUGUGCCCAGAUGGGAUUAGCUUGUUGGUGGGGUAAAGGCUCACCAAGGCGACGAUCCCUAGCUGGUCUGAGAGGAUGACCAGCCACACUGGCACUGAGACACGGGCCAGACUCCUACGCGAGGCAGCAGUGGGGAAUAUUGCACAAUGGGCGCAAGCCUGAUACAACCAUGCCGCGUGUAUGAAGAAGGCCUUCGGGUUGUAAAGUACUUUCAGCGGGGAAGCGUUACCCGAAGAAUAAGCACCGGCUAACUCCGUGCCAGAAGCCGCGGUAAUAC